rnacentral:pre_miRNA from 1 species
GUAGUAUUCCCUCCGUCCCAAAAUUCUUGUCUUACAUUUGUUUAGAUACGGAUGUAUCUAACACUAAAAUGUAACUAGAUACAUCCGUAUUUAGACAAAUUUAAGACAAUAAUUUUGGGACGGAGGGAGUACAAA